CUGCAAGUCGAGCGAACAGAUAAGGAGCUUGCUCCUUUGACGUUAGCGGCGGACGGGUGAGUAACACGUGGAUAACCUACCUAUAAGACUGGGAUAACUUCGGGAAACCGGAGCUAAUACCGGAUAACAUAUUGAACCGCAUGGUUCAAUAGUGAAAGGCGGCUUUGCUGUCACUUAUAGAUGGAUCCGCGCCGUAUUAGCUAGUUGGUAAGGUAACGGCUUACCAAGGCAACGAUACGUAGCCGACCUGAGAGGGUGAUCGGCCACACUGGAACUGAGACACGGUCCAGACUCCUACGGGAGGCAGCAGUAGGGAAUCUUCCGCAAUGGGCGAAAGCCUGACGGAGCAACGCCGCGUGAGUGAUGAAGGUCUUCGGAUCGUAAAACUCUGUUAUCAGGGAAGAACAAAUGUGUAAGUAACUGUGCACAUCUUGACGGUACCUGAUCAGAAAGCCACGGCUAACUACGUGCCAGCAGCCGCGGUAAUACGUAGGUGGCAAGCGUUAUCCGGAAUUAUUGGGCGUAAAGCGCGCGUAGGCGGUUUUUUAAGUCUGAUGUGAAAGCCCACGGCUCAACCGUGGAGGGUCAUUGGAAACUGGAAAACUUGAGUGCAGAAGAGGAAAGUGGAAUUCCAUGUGUAGCGGUGAAAUGCGCAGAGAUAUGGAGGAACACCAGUGGCGAAGGCGACUUUCUGGUCUGUAACUGACGCUGAUGUGCGAAAGCGUGGGGAUCAAACAGGAUUAGAUACCCUGGUAGUCCACGCCGUAAACGAUG
rnacentral:rRNA from 1 species